GACGAACGCUGGCGGCGUGCCUAAUACAUGCAAGUAGAACGCUGAAGAGAGGAGCUUGCUCUUCUUGGAUGAGUUGCGAACGGGUGAGUAACGCGUAGGUAACCUGCCUGGUAGCGGGGGAUAACUAUUGGAAACGAUAGCUAAUACCGCAUAAAAUGGAUUAUCGCAUGAUAAUCCAUUGAAAGGUGCAAUUGCAUCACUACCAGAUGGACCUGCGUUGUAUUAGCUAGUUGGUGGGGUAACGGCUCAACAAGGCGACGAUACAUAGCCGACCUGAGAGGGUGAUCGGCCACACUGGGACUGAGACACGGCCCAGACUCCUACGGGAGGCAGCAGUAGGGAAUCUUCGGCAAUGGACGGAAGUCUGACCGAGCAACGCCGCGUGAGUGAAGAAGGUUUUCGGAUCGUAAAGCUCUGUUGUAAGAGAAGAACGAGUGUGAGAGUGGAAAGUUCACACUGUGACGGUAUCUUACCAGAAAGGGACGGCUAACUACGUG
rnacentral:rRNA from 1 species